rnacentral:rRNA from 1 species
ACAUGCAAGUCGAACGCUUUGUGGUUCAACUGAUUUGAAGAGCUUGCUCAGAUAUGACGAUGGACAUUGCAAAGAGUGGCGAACGGGUGAGUAACACGUGGGAAACCUACCUCUUAGCAGGGGAUAACAUUUGGAAACAGAUGCUAAUACCUGUAUAACAAUGACAACCGCAUGGUUGUUAUUUAAAAGAUGGUUCUGCUAUCACUAAGAGAUGGUCCCGCGGUGCAUUAGCUAGUUGGUAAGGUAAUGGCUUACCAAGGCGAUGAUGCAUAGCCGAGUUGAGAGACUGAUCGGCCACAAUGGGACUGAGACACGGCCCAUACUCCUACGGGAGGCAGCAGUAGGGAAUCUUCCACAAUGGGCGAAAGCCUGAUGGAGCAACGCCGCGUGUGUGAUGAAGGGUUUCGGCUCGUAAAACACUGUUGUAAGAGAAGAAUGACAUUGAGAGUAACUGUUCAAUGUGUGACGGUAUCUUACCAGAAAGGAACGGCUAAAUACGUGCCAGCAGCCGCGGUAAUACGUAUGUUCCAAGCGUUAUCCGGAUUUAUUGGGCGUAAAGCGAGCGCAGACGGUUAUUUAAGUCUGAAGUGAAAGCCCUCAGCUCAACUGAGGAAUUGCUUUGGAAACUGGAUGACUUGAGUGCAGUAGAGGAAAGUGGAACUCCAUGUGUAGCGGUGAAAUGCGUAGAUAUAUGGAAGAACACCAGUGGCGAAGGCGGCUUUCUGGACUGUAACUGACGUUGAGGCUCGAAAGUGUGGGUAGCAAACAGGAUUAGAUACCCUGGUAGUCCACACCGUAAACGAUGAGUGCUAGGUGUUUGAGGGUUUCCGCCCUUAAGUGCCGCAGCUAACGCAUUAAGCACUCCGCCUGGGGAGUACGACCGCAAGGUUGAAACUCAAAGGAAUUGACGGGGACCCGCACAAGCGGUGGAGCAUGUGGUUUAAUUCGAAGCAACGCGAAGAACCUUACCAGGUCUUGACAUCCCUUGACAACUCCAGAGAUGGAGCGUUCCCUUCGGGGACAAGGUGACAGGUGGUGCAUGGUUGUCGUCAGCUCGUGUCGUGAGAUGUUGGGUUAAGUCCCGCAACGAGCGCAACCCUUAUUACUAGUUGCCAGCAUUCAGUUGGGCACUCUAGUGAGACUGCCGGUGACAAACCGGAGGAAGGUGGGGAUGACGUCAAAUCAUCAUGCCCCUUAUGACCUGGGCUACACACGUGCUACAAUGGCGUAUACAACGAGUUGCCAACCCGCGAGGGUGAGCUAAUCUCUUAAAGUACGUCUCAGUUCGGAUUGUAGGCUGCAACUCGCCUACAUGAAGUCGGAAUCGCUAGUAAUCGCGGAUCAGCACGCCGCGGUGAAUACGUUCCCGGGUCUUGUACACACCGCCCGUCACACCAUGAGAGUUUGUAACACCCAAAGCCGGUGGGGUAACCUUCGGGAGCCAGCCGUCU